rnacentral:rRNA from 1 species
UUGAAAGGGAAACGAUUGAAGUCAGUCAUACCAACGGGAAAUCAACCUUUUGAGCUCGGUCUCGUGGGUUUUGAAGAGUUUCAAAGCCUUCGGAUUCGCGGGAUUGGGAUCUCUUGGUGUACUUUUUCGUACGGUUAGUCAACAUCGGUUUUGAAUGUCAUAAAAUGACUUGGGGAAUGUAGCUUCGAUCUCGUAUUGAAGUGUUAUAGCCUUUGGUAGAUGUGAUGUUUGAGACCGAGGAUUGCAACGGAUACCCUUCAGGGCUAUUCGUCUGAUCUCUGAUACGUUGCCUUGAUGUUGAAAGCUUGCUUAUGAUGUUAGGGUAUUACGGUCAAAAGGUUAGAACGAAUUACAUUCGUUAAGGAUGUUGACGUA